UACGAAGGGGGCUAGCGUUGCUCGGAAUCACUGGGCGUAAAGCGCACGUAGGCGGAUCGUUAAGUCGGAGGUGAAAUCCUGGAGCUCAACUCCAGAACUGCCCUCGAUACUGGCGAUCUUGGAGUCCGGGAGAGGUGAGUGGAACUCCGAGUGUAGAGGUGAAAUUCGUAGAUAUUCGGAAGAACACCAGUGGCGAAGGCGGCUCACUGGCCCGGUACUGGACGCUGAGGUGGCGAAAGCGU
rnacentral:rRNA from 1 species